CAUGACCUCGCAAGAGCAAAGUGGGGACUUCGGGCCUCACGCCAUCGGAUGUGCCCAGAUGGGAUUAGCUAGUAGGUGGGGUAAUGGCUCACCUAGGCGACGAUCCCUAGCUGGUCUGAGAGGAUGACCAGCCACACUGGAACUGAGACACGGUCCAGACUCUUACGGGAGGCAGCAGUGGGGAAUAUUGCACAAUGGGCGCAAGCCUGAUGCAGCCAUGUCGCGUGUGUGAAGAAGGCCUUAGGGUUGUAAAGCACUUUCAGCGAGGAGGAAGGCGCUGUAGUUAAUAGCUGCAGCGAUUGACGUUACUCGCAGAAGAAGCACCGGCUAACUCCGUGCCAGCAGCCGCGGUAAUACGGAGGGUGCAAGCGUUAAUCGGAAUUACUGGGCGUAAAGCGCACGCAGGCGGUUUGUUAAGUCAGAUGUGAAAUCCCCGAGCUUAACUUGGGAACUGCAUUUGAAACUGGCAAGCUAGAGUCUUGUAGAGGGGGGUAGAAUUCCAGGUGUAGCGGUGAAAUGCGUAGAGAUCUGGAGGAAUACCGGUGGCGAAGGCGGCCCCCUGGACAAAGACUGACGCUCAGGUGCGAAAGCGUGGGGAGCAAAC
rnacentral:rRNA from 1 species